ACUCCUACGGGAGGCAGCAGUGGGGAAUUUUGGACAAUGGGGGAAACCCUGAUCCAGCCAUCCCGCGUGUGUGAUGAAGGCCUUCGGGUUGUAAAGCACUUUUGGCAGGAAAGAAACGUCGUGGGUUAAUCCCCGCGAAACUGACGGUAC
rnacentral:rRNA from 1 species